rnacentral:rRNA from 1 species
CGCGUAGGCGGGGAUGUAAGUCGGGCGUGAAAUCCCCAGGCUCAACCUGGGAACUGCACUCGAAACUGCGUUUCUUGAGUAUCGGAGAGGAAAGCGGAAUUCCUGGUGUAGAGGUGAAAUUCGUAGAUAUCAGGAGGAACACCAGUGGCGAAGGCGGCUUUCUGGACGGUAACUGACGCUGAGGCUCGAAAGCCAGGGGAGCGAACG